GACGAACGCUGGCGGCGUGCUUAACACAUGCAAGUCGAGCGGUAAGGCCCUUUCGGGGGUACACGAGCGGCGAACGGGUGAGUAACACGUGGGUGACCUGCCCUCAGCUCUGGGAUAAGCCCGGGAAACUGGGUCUAAUACCGGAUAUGACUCCAUGACGCAUGUUGUGGGGUGGAAAGCCUUGUGCGGCUGAGGAUGGGCCCGCGGCCUAUCAGCUUGUUGGUGGGGUGAUGGCCACCAAGGCGACGACGGGUAGCCGGCCUGAGAGGGCGACCGGCCACACUGGGACUGAGACACGGCCCAGACUCCUACGGGAGGCAGCAGUGGGGAAUCUUGCGCAAUGGGCGAAAGCCUGACGCAGCGACGCCGCGUGAGGGAUGACGGCCUCGGUGUAA
rnacentral:rRNA from 1 species